rnacentral:rRNA from 1 species
AUUGAACGCUGGCGGCAGGCCUAACACAUGCAAGUCGAGCGGAUGAAGGGAGCUUGCUCCUGGAUUCAGCGGCGGACGGGUGAGUAAUGCCUAGGAAUCUGCCUGGUAGUGGGGGAUAACGUCCGGAAACGGGCGCUAAUACCGCAUACGUCCUGAGGGAGAAAGUGGGGGUUCUUCGGACCUCACGCUAUCAGAUGAGCCUAGGUCGGAUUAGCUAGUUGGUGGGGUAAAGGCCUACCAAGGCGACGAUCCGUAACUGGUCUGAGAGGAUGAUCAGUCACACUGGAACUGAGACACGGUCCAGACUCCUACGGGAGGCAGCAGUGGGGAAUAUUGGACAAUGGGCGAAAGCCUGAUCCAGCCAUGCCGCGUGUGUGAAGAAGGUCUUCGGAUUGUAAAGCACUUUAAGUUGGGAGGAAGGGAAGUAAGUUAAUACCUUGCUGUUUUGACGUUACCAACAGAAUAAGCACCGGCUAACUUCGUG